UACGUAGGGAGCAAGCGUUGUCCGGAAUCAUUGGGCGUAAAGAGCGCGUAGGCGGCCGUGUAAGUCCGCUCUGAAAGUCAAAGGCUCAACCUUUGAAAGCGGGUGGAUACUGCACGGCUAGAGUCCGGAAGAGGCGAGUGGAAUUCCUGGUGUAGCGGUGGAAUGCGCAGAUAUCAGGAGGAACACCAACGGCGAAGGCAGCUCGCUGGGACGGUACUGACGCUGAGACGCGAAAGCGUGGGGAGCGAACAGG
rnacentral:rRNA from 1 species